rnacentral:rRNA from 1 species
UACGGAGGAUGCAAGCGUUAUCCGGAAUUAUUGGGCGUAAAGAGCUCGUAGGCGGUCUGUUGCGUCGGCUGUGAAAACCCGGGGCUCAACUCCGGGCCUGCAGCCGAUACGGGCAGACUAGAGUUCGGCAGGGGAGACUGGAAUUCCUGGUGUAGCGGUGAAAUGCGCAGAUAUCGAGAGGAACACCUGCGGCGAAGGCGGGUUGCUGGGCUGAUACUGACGCUGAGGCGCGAAAGCCAGGGGAGCGAACGGG